rnacentral:rRNA from 1 species
UACGUAAGGUGCGAGCGUUAAUCGGAAUUACUGGGCGUAAAGCGUGCGCAGGCGGUUUUGUAAGCCAGAUGUGAAAGCCCCGGGCUUAACCUGGGAAUGGCAUUUGGGACUGCAAGGCUUGAGUGCGGCAGAGGAGACUGGAAUUCCUGGUGUAGCAGUGAAAUGCGUAGAUAUCAGGAGGAAUACCGAUGGCGAAGGCAGGUCUCUGGGCUGACACUGACGCUCAUGCACGAAAGCGUGGGGAGCAAACAGG